AUGCAUGAGGCAAACGAGAUCUGGGGUGCUGCUUUGGUGGACAUGCAGGCCCUGUCCUCCCACAAUACAGAGGAUCCUAUUGUCCCUGUAAUCCAACAAGUGUUGACAGAAUUCAGAGAUGUCUUCGAGGAGCCUACCACACUUCCCCCACACAGGCAAUAUGACCACGCCAUCAAUUUGGAACCCGGAGCAGUCCCCGUCAACUGCCGACCAUACCGCUACUCGCCACUGCAGAAAGACGAGAUAGAACGGCAAGUUUCAGAGAUGCUCCGCCAAGGCCUGAUCACCCACAGCAUGAGCCCAUUUGCAGCUCCGGUGCUGCUGGUAAAGAAGAAAGACGGCACUUGGAGGUUCUGCGUGGAUUACCGUCGCCUCAACACUAUUACUAUAAAGAACAAAUUUCCCCUGCCAAUCAUCGACGAGCUCUUGGACGAACUCGCAGGCGCUGCAUUCUUUUCCAAGAUUGAUUUACAAGCUGGGUAUCAUCAAAUACGAAUGAGAGAAGGUGAUGAAGAGAAGACUGCUUUCAAAACACAUCAUGGGCACUUCCAAUUCAGAGCCAUGCCUUUCAGAGUCACGAACGGACCACCAACAUUCCAGUGCUUGAUAAACUCCAUCUUCUAUGGUCCGAAUCGUAAGUUUGUCAUUUCGUUCCUUGAUGACAUUCUUGUGUUCAGCUGCUCUCUCCAGGAACAUGUGGAGCACCUUCGCACUGUCUUCUCCAUUCUCCGUCAACAUCAACUAUAUGCCAAAGAGUCCAAGUGUUCCUUUGCUCAGCCUCGCAUCGAAUACCUGGGUCAUGUGAUCUCCAAGGAAGGUGUGGCUACCGAUCCCAGCAAGACGAGUGCGAUGCACGAGUGGCCUACAACAACAAAUGCCACUGAGCUGCGUGGAUUCCUUGGGCUCACGGGCUAUUAUCGCAAAUUCGUUCCUUGUUAUGGAAUCAUCGCCAAGCCACUAACACAACUUCUCACCAAGAAAGGAUUCAUGUGGUCAACUCAAGCACAAGCGGCAUUCGACUAG
rnacentral:rRNA from 1 species